rnacentral:rRNA from 1 species
CCUACGGGAGGCAGCAGUGAGGAAUAUUGGUCAAUGGGCGCGAGCCUGAACCAGCCAAGUAGCGUGAAGGAUGACUGCCCUACGGGUUGUAAACUUCUUUUAUAAAGGAAUAAAGUGAGGCACGUGUGCCUUUUUGUCUGUACUUUAUGAAUACGGAUCGGCUAACUCCGUGCCAGCAGCCGCGGUAAUACGGAGGAUCCGAGCGUUAUCCGGAUUUAUUGGGUUUAAAGGGAGCGUAGAUGGGUUGUUAAGUCAGUUGUGAAAGUUUGCGGCUCAACCGUAAAAUUGCAAUUGAUACUGGCGGUCUUGAGUACAGUUGAGGUAGGCGGAAUUCGUGGUGUAGCGGUGAAAUGCUUAGAUAUCACGAAGAACUCCGAUUGCGAAGGCAGCUUACUAAACUGCCACUGACAUUGAUGCUCGAAAGUGUGGGUAUCAAACAGGAUUAGAUACCCUUGUAGUC